CCGACCUCCAACCCUUUGUUGUUAAAACUACCUUGUUGCUUUGGCGGGACCGCUCGGUUCCGAGCCGCUGGGGAUUCGUCCCAGGCGAGCGCCCGCCAGAGUUAAACCAAACUCUUGUUAUUUAAACCGGUCGUCUGAGUUAAAAUUUUGAAUAAAUCAAAACUUUCAACAACGGAUCUCUUGGUUCUCGCAUCGAUGAAGAACGCAGCGAAAUGCGAUAAGUAAUGUGAAUUGCAGAAUUCAGUGAAUCAUCGAAUCUUUGAACGCACAUUGCGCCCCUUGGUAUUCCGAGGGGCAUGCCUGUUCGAGCGUCAUUACACCACUCAAGCUAUGCUUGGUAUUGGGUGCCGUCCUUAGUUGGGCGCGCCUUAAAGACCUCGGCGAGGCCUCACCGGCUUUAGGCGUAGUAGAAUUUAUUCGAACGUCUGUCAAAGGAGAGGACUUCUGCCGACUGAAACCUUUUAUUUUUUCUAGGUUGACCUCGGAUCAGGUAGGGAUACCCGCUGAACUUAAGCAUAUCAAUAAGCGGGAGGGAA
rnacentral:rRNA from 1 species